rnacentral:lncRNA from 12 species
ACUGUAGAGAUAUUAGUCCUUAUUAUCAAUCUUAUGGCGCUUGAAUUCUCAUAGCACCAAUUAUGCGUAUGGAAACAUACGAUAAAAGUAUUAAGGGCAAGAUUACAACAAAUGAUCCUUUUUAAAAAAUAGCACCUGAAGAAAGCUGUGCACCCCACAUCUGGCACUAAGUCAUCAGCUGGCUGUGUGAUUUUAUUUGAGUCACUCAGCCUCUCUGGACCUUAUUUUCUUCCUCUUUAGAUUAAGAGAGUGAACGAGAUGACCUUUCAGGUCUUUGGAAGCUCUAAGAGCUACGCCUCCGUUUUGGGGAAAGCUAUCAUUAACCGUGUCGAUGUCAACCACAAAAUCUAUACUCAACAUCAUCAGCUUUUCUUGAUGGUACAUCAUGGAGCCAUGUAUUUUUCUAAACCCUUCAUUUAGCUGUGAAUCAGCAUUUUAAAAUAACAGAUGCUUACUAAGCUGACUUCUUCCACUCCUUGGCUCAAAACAAUUGGUAUGUGUGAACUGGCAUUUCCUACUUCUUAUUUCCAGCGUUUGGGGGAAGCCUGUGUCAAGAACCCCACUUUGUUUUCAGCUGCCCCCGCAAAGCAGCCCUCUUCUAAUAUUGGAGCACCAGAGGGUGGGGGGGGGGCUAUCUUCGAUUAUCUGGAAGUCAGUUCUCUGCGGUCCUCAGGAGCACUCAGUACCCAGAGCCAUUUCCCAAAGUAGACGGACAUCCUUGGUGGGUGUCUCCAAAUUACCUUCCCAGGCAUAUCUGCUUCUAGGGCACAGACCACACAGUGUCAUCUCUUCUGGGGCCCCAGGACAGCUUGGCACUGGAUUCAGAAAUUUCCUCAAAAACAAAGCUCAGAAGACUCUCGCAGUAAAAACCUCAGCUUCUCGAAGAAGAAAGAAUAGGCAAGAGUUGAAAACGAUUCUCCAAACUAUUGUGUGUCUGGGGAAGCUUCACAUUUUCAAGGAAACUGGCAUGAAUAAAACAAUGGUAUUGAUUCACCUCUUUUGGAAAAACAUGCGUAUAUUUAGGAUUUGAAGAGUGCCAGUUUGUGGGAGACCAA